rnacentral:lncRNA from 1 species
AGGCAUCAGCCCAGUAAGCAGAUGCUUGGGGCUGCUAAGGGAGAGGGGCAGCGCGUCAGGCUCUUCGGCCUGCGAUAGCAGCUUUUUUUUAUUUUAUUUUUAUUUUUGCUACUUGGAGCAGCAAAAACUCUGGAGCCCGCCCUCACAGUUUGGAGUUUGUUUCUGAUCAGAAAUUCAUCAGGGAGAAGGGAGCAACACAGAAUUCUGCCUGUGGGUGUAACUGACUCACACUGAUUUAGGGCAACAGGUUUUUUGAACAGCGCCUGAAUCUGGCAGAUUAAACCCCCAGAAUUCCUUAGAAUUUCGCACCGUGUUUGAGAAACUUUUUCUAAGGAAUUAUUCGUGACCGUGCUGCAGCGUUUCUUGAGACCCGUCCCCAGGCGGCAGGAGUGACUGAUUUAGCGCCUGCGAGUCUCUUUGCCGGCCGGGACAGCGCUCCGGCUAUGCGCGCUCUGGGGGGUUCCGGCCUGCGGGCGCUGCUCUCAGUAGCAUGCUUGAUUUCAUGGUGUUACGUCCUAGCUGGGCCCCCAGGAGAGAGGAUGACUGCUGCUGCUGGAUCCUGCAUUGUGCUCCCUGGACUGGAUCAGUUGCAGGGUGUUAGCCUCAUGCAAUGGAAAUUUUCUGAGCAGUACCUUGUGACUUAUCAUGUCAAUAACUCCAGUCUUCCUGACAUUGUGGACCAAGACAGAUUUCUUUUCCAGAAGUCAAAUGGAUCUCUCCAGAUCUGUGGAUUAAAAGUGAAUGACAGUGGGAUCUAUACCCUAAUAAUAAACAUGAAGAAGCAAAAUGACAGAUCCAUCCAACUAGAAGUUGUUGAGCCUGUGUCCCAGCCGGAACUCUGGAGCAACUUGUCCUUGAUCGGCCUUACCACUGAGCUGGUGUGCAACACCUCAGUUGAGAAAGUGGCUAAAUAUCAGUGGAAGAAGGAUGGGAAGCCCCUCCCUAUAGAAAGCCAUUACCAGCUCUCUCAGAAUAACAGUGUAUUACUCAUAUUAACCACCACCUGGUCUGACAAAGGCUCCUAUAGUUGUAAUGUCAGCAAUGAGGUCAGAUGGCAUGAACUUUCCCUGGAGCUGUCCAUUCAACAAUUCAUGAGUCCUGCUCCCACCCCAAAACCACUCAGCAUUGUAUCUAUAAGAUCUCUUUUCACCCUUGUGGGGGAAGAGACGGGGGGAGACUUCUGGUGCGUUCUUAUCCAUGCUGAAAGGCUGGGGAGAGAGUAAGAGCCCUUGUCUCAGCCAGAACUCCGGAGCAACUCUUCCUUGGUGGGCUCCACCAUCGAAUUUGUCUGUAAGGUGCCAAUAGGGAAAGUUGAUUCCUAUCAGCGGAAGAAGGAUGGCAAGCGUCUCCCUGAAGACAGUCACUUCCUGCUCUUUCAGAAUGACAGCAUUUUAUGUAUACUGAACACAGCACUGUCUGACAAUGGGGUGUACACCUGUGAAGUCAGCAAUCAAGUCAGCUGGUAUGAAACCUCCCUGAAACUAGACAUCCAGAGUAAGUGGGCAUUUAAUUUUAAUGCAACAAACAGAAUUGCAAAUCAAAUCAAAUUCCAGUAACAAAUGACCCCAGUGGUAUUUCUGGGUGGGUUGAGGAGAGGCAGGUUGGCAGGGAGGGAGGAGGAGGAGGAAAAUGAUCAGAGGUUGUUGAAUAACGCUUGGUUACAUUUUCAAGAAGAUUGAUAGAUUCCAGGCCAGAAGGGACCAUUGUGAUCAUCUAGUCUGCCCUCCUGUGUAAUACAGGCCAGAGAACUUUUCCCACAAUAAUUCCUAGAGCAGAUCUUUCAGAAAAACAUCCAGUCUUGAUUUAAAGAUUGUCAGUGAUGGAGAACCCACCACAGCCUUUGGUAUAGUGUUCCAAUGGUUAAUUACUCUCACUAUUAAAAAUUUACACCUUUAUGUCCAGUCUGAAUUUCUAUAGCUUCAACUUCCAGCCAUUGCAUUGUGGAUAUGUUGGAACUGUACACUAGUGCUGGUUGAAAACUUACCAUCAACUCUUUUUAGGCUAAAUGAAAAAUUUUGCUUGAAAAAUUUAAUUCCCCCCAUCCCCCACAAGACAACCUGAAAAGUUUUGAGAUUGUGUGUGUGCGUGCAUACGCACGUGUGUGUUGUUUUGAAGAAAAGUCAAAAUUUUCUGCAGGAUUUUUUCACACCAAUCAGCUCUACUGUUUAUCUAUUGAUGCACAAUUGCACAUACAUGUAAUUCAGUGCUUCAGAGCAUAACACUU